UACGUAGGGUGCGAGCGUUGUCCGGAAUUAUUGGGCGUAAAGAGCUUGUAGGCGGUCUGUCGCGUCUGCUGUGAAAAUCCGGGGCUCAACCCCGGACUUGCAGUGGGUACGGGCAGUCUAGAGUGUGGUAGGGGAGACUGGAAUUCCUGGUGUAGCGGUGAAAUGCGCAGAUAUCAGGAGGAACACCGAUGGCGAAGGCAGGUCUCUGGGCCACUACUGACGCUGAGAAGCGAAAGCAUGGGGAGCGAACAGG
rnacentral:rRNA from 1 species